AUUGAACGCUGGCGGAAUGCUUUACACAUGCAAGUCGAACGGCAGCACGGACUUCGGUCUGGUGGCGAGUGGCGAACGGGUGAGUAAUAUAUCGGAACGUGCCCAGUCGUGGGGGAUAACGUAGUGAAAAUUACGCUAAUACCGCGUACGAUCUAUGGAUGAAAGCGGGGGAUCACAAGACCUCGCGCGAUUGGAGCGGCCGAUAUCAGAUUAGGUAGUUGGUGAGGUAAAGGCUCAUCAAGCCAACGAUCUGUAGCUGGUCUGAGAGGACGACCAGCCACGCUGGAACUGAGACACGGUCCAGACUCCUACGGGAGGCAGCAGUGGGGAAUUUUGGACAAUGGACGCAAGUCUGAUCCAGCCAUUCCGCGUGCAGGACGAAGGCCUUCGGGUUGUAAACUGCUUUUGUACGGAACGAAAAGGUCUCUAUUAAUACUAGGGGCUCAUGACGGUACCGUAAGAAUAAGCACCGGCUAACUACGUGCCAGCCGCCGCGGUAA
rnacentral:rRNA from 1 species